CUGAGUUUCAACCCAGCCCUAAGCACACAGCAAAUCCCACCACCUCUAGGAAGCCCUGCUGGCCUUCACCGGCCAGUCAGCAGUGAUCCUCCCUUCCUCUCUUUCUGCAUGGCCCUCUUUCCUCCCCUGAAAGCUCACUGCUCUGGGUCUCGGGUACCCAGACUAUUGCUGGUGAUGAUGUCAUGAGAGGCAGUUGCUAGGCAACUGGCUCCACGGAGUCAGGGGCGCCUGCUCUUGGAUUUGAAGUGCCCCUGCCAAUUUCUUAAAAUAUCAGAACUCAGAGCACAUGGAGCCCCAGAGAAGAGCGGAAAAUCCAGCGUGCUUCACAAGCACUGAAACCAGAAAUAACCAAAGUGUCCACGGAUGGGCGGCUGGAUACAAAGCCGGCGUGUAGUCAUAAAGGGAUGCAGCGAACGACGAAUGUGAAUAAACAUUUGCUGUAUGAACAGGAUGACUGACGCUCACAGCUCAACGUGGAGUGAAGGAAGCCAGACCUGGGGAAGCCCCCGCUGUAUGGUCCAUCUGACGGAAGUCAAAAGCGGGAGAAAACUUGUCUGCAGUGUAGGAAGUUGAAACAGCGGAUGCCUCUGAGGUUGGGGUAUGGGGGCUUUGGGGGUGAGAAACAUUCUAUUUCUUGAUCCGGGUUCUGGAAACAAGUGUACUGUCUUCUGGGCAAAGCCUGGGCUGGGGGUGUGCAGGGCACGGUGGUGGAGGGACGAGGGGACACAGGGGCCUGCGGGGCAGGUUGGAGAUGGAGGCAGGUUGGGGUAGGGGUGAUCAAACAGCAUAUACUGUAAAGGCCCCAGGCAGGGAGGGGCCUCCACAGCCCUAAGACGAGGCUGGAAGAGAGGAGGAAGGUGGCGAGAGAGAAUCUCCAACUGGCAAAGGCAAGGCCCAAGGGCCCCUGUGGGUGCUGGUCAACAUGCAGGUGGCCGCCAGCCUCCCAGCCCAUCCUGACAGCCCCUGCGGGCUCCUAUGUCCCUGCACAAUUGCCAAAAGCACCUCAGUCACUCCCCAAGGGCCAAGCUCAGACAAUGUGUGGGGUGGUUUCUAUAUCCAGAGGGGCUGAGAGUGUCCCAAGCCCCUUUCUUUGGGCUCGGUGUCACACCCAUCUGCUGGGGUCCCCACAGCAGCCCAGGAGAGGCCUGUCCCGAUCCUAAUGAAAAGGAUGAGAAAGCUCAGGGUCAGAGAGGAAAGUGCGGAGCCCUCAUCCGCUGCCUCGGGGAGAACAGUGGCUGCCCUCGGGACCGCCCCGGGUCACUGGGCCUGAGACCGCAGGGAAGAGACAAGUCUGGGGGUGGUGACCUCCCGGUAGCCUCACGGGUAAGAGAAAUGGGGCUGUUUGGGACAGAGACCACAGGGGACAGAGGGUCAUACCUGUCAGAGGGAAGCCGCUAGGGGUGAGAAGGGCGGUGGGGAGAGGCACAGUGCAGAGGAGGGCAUGCCUUUUACUUACCAGGGCAAAGGGAAAUCUGACCUCCACGAGGGUGGAUAAAGCUCUGCCAAGCUCGCCAACUGAAGCCAAGAAAAAACGCUAAGGAAGGAAGCACCUCGAAACACAGCGGCUGGAGAGGCAGCGGGAGCCUCCUGGGCCGGUGCUCCACGGGGUGCCAGAGCUGGGUGACUCCCUGCCUGGUGGAACUUACACCCCUACGGGGGCCCUGACCUCCAAGCUACAGGCAAACCAGUUCCCAUGGCACUCACCAUGGCAAGAGUAAAAUCACGAGAGCCAGAGGGUUGGGGGUCCUUCGAGUCCAGGUGGCCGGGAGUAGCCUCGCUGGGGAGGAGGCACUGAGGCCGGUUCCAAAGGACCAGAGGAGCCCCAGAUGGGUGCAGCAGCCAGCCUGUGAGGGCUGCCCGGAGGGCCUGCACUUCACGUCCAGGGAGGCCAGUGGCCAGCAGAGGAUGUGGUAGGUGUGAGGCGGGAGGCAGGGCAGCUCCCUGAAGGCACACGGAGGAUGGCCGCCGCAGAGAAGGAUGCGGUCAGAGUGGAAGGGAGCAGCCCCAACUCAGCCAGUACAGUGGAUGGUGAGGAGGGUUCAGGCCGAGGCCCCAAAGCCCCAUCCUGCAGGCACAGGACAGGACCAGGCCGACAGCUCAGAGAGAAUGGGACCCCACGCAGCUGCCAGGAUGCCAGGCGCUAAAUCACAGCGACCUCUUGCCAGCCAUGCAAAUAAUCCAAUUACGUCGGGAUAAUUUAUUGAUCAGGAAAAUCAAAAGAAGGUAAUUAACACAAAUGA
rnacentral:lncRNA from 1 species